rnacentral:ncRNA from 1 species
UGAUAGAGGCGCACUUCACAUCAGUAACGGAAAUCCCCGGUCAAUGGAUGUCCGUGAAAGGGUGCGGUGCCGAGGGUCGGAUGCUUGUGUCCACAGGUAUCCGUCACCGGGACGUCGGAGAAUAUCCUGCGUACUGUCGUUCCACGGAACGGAGAGCUAUCGU